rnacentral:rRNA from 1 species
UACGGGGGGGGCAAGCGUUGUUCGGAAUUACUGGGCGUAAAGGGGUUGUAGGCGGCCAACUAAGUCCGACGUGAAAUCCCAAGGCUUAACCUUGGAACUGCGUCGGAUACUGGAUGGCUUGAAUUCGGGAGAGGGAUGCAGAAUUCCAGGUGUAGCGGUGAAAUGCGUAGAUAUCUGCAGGAACACCCGUGGCGAAAGCGGCGCGCUGGACCACUACUGACGCUGAGGAACGAAAGCGUGGGGAGCGAACAGG